rnacentral:rRNA from 1 species
GGAGCUCUCCCAUAUGGUCGACCUGCAGGCGGCCGCGAAUUCACUAGUGAUUAGAGUUUGAUCCUGGCUCAGAUUGAACGCUGGCGGCGUGCUUAACACAUGCAAGUCGAACGUGAAAGUCCUUCGGGGCGAGUAAAGUGGCGCACGGGUGAGUAACGCGUGGAUAAUCUACCCUUAAGAUGGGGAUAACGGCUGGAAACGGUCGCUAAUACCGAAUACGCUCCCGAUUUUAUCGUUGGGGGGAAAGAUGGCCUCUGCUUGCAAGCUAUCGCUUAAGGAUGAGUCCGCGUCCCAUUAGCUAGUUGGCGGGGUAACGGCCCACCAAGGCGACGAUGGGUAGCCGGUCUGAGAGGAUGACCGGCCACACUGGAACUGGAACACGGUCCAGACUCCUACGGGAGGCAGCAGUGGGGAACAUUGCGCAAUGGGCGAAAGCCUGACGCAGCGACGCCGCGUGAGGGAUGAAGGUUCUCGGAUCGUAAACCUCUGUCAGGGGGGAAGAAACCCCCUCGUGUGAAUAAUGCGAGGGCUUGACGGUACCCCCAAAGGAAGCACCGGCUAACUCCGUGCCAGCAGCCGCGGUAAUACGGAGGGUGCAAGCGUUAAUCGGAAUCACUGGGCGUAAAGCGCACGUAGGCGGCUUGGUAAGUCAGGGGUGAAAUCCCACAGCCCAACUGUGGAACUGCCUUUGAUACUGCCAGGCUUGAGUACCGGAGAGGGUGGCGGAAUUCCAGGUGUAGGAGUGAAACCCGUAGAUAUCUGGAGGAACACCGGUGGCGAAGGCGGCCACCUGNACGGUAACUGACGCUGANGUGCGAAAGCGUGGGUAGCAAACAGGAUUANAUACCCGGGUANUCNNCGCUGUANACGAUGGGUGCUGGG